rnacentral:miRNA from 10 species
CAUAGCAAGGUAUGAGGUUGGUGCAAAAGUAAUUGCGGUUUUGCCAUUACUUUCAAUGGCAAAAAUCGCAAUUACUUUUACACUAGCAUAAUACAU